ensembl:snoRNA
CUCCGAUGAUGAUCCAGCCAUGCUAAUACUGAUACACCAGGCAGAUGCAGUGUGUCUGCCUGGGUGUAAGUGAGUGCAACUCACCUUCUCAUGCUGAUUGGUAUCAGUGUGUGCUGAGGAGA